rnacentral:snoRNA from 1 species
ACUGCUAUGCUUAGCCUCUUGUAACAAUUUUUAAGAGCAUGCUUAUCUAGUUAGCUGAUAGUGAUCCCAGCUGAGGAAACAGGGUUGUUCCUCAUGUGGAGUCUCUGUGCUAAAAGCAUGGAAACAGCC